rnacentral:lncRNA from 1 species
GAGGAGUCAUUUGGUGGGUUUUGAGUGAAAUACAAUCGCUAGAACUAUACAGUACACCAGCCACUCCAUUUCAGAACGAACUUCGUAUGAACCUGAAUUGUCCGAUUUCAAGGACCAAUCGAUAUCGGAUUGAGUCCAAAACUUGGGGAACAUCAUAAUAUUGUGGGAGGAGUCAUUUGGUGGGUUUUUAGUGAAAUCCAAUCUCUAGAACAAUACAAUACACCACUCACCCCAUUUCAGAACGAACUUCGUACGAACCUGAAUUGUCCGAUUUCAAGGACCAAUCGAUACCGGAU